ensembl:snoRNA
UUGCUUUUUUGGUUCCUAAGAGUGAACACUGGAUGCUCAUGUCAUUGCAUGACAUGUGACUCUCACAAACCUGGUUAGGAUGAUGGCACAUUACCUGUCUGACA